UACAGAGGGGGCAAGCGUUGUUCGGAAUUACUGGGCGUAAAGCGCGCGCAGGCGGUCCUUUAAGUCUGAUGUGAAAGCCCACGGCUCAACCGUGGAGGGUCAUUGGAAACUGGGGGACUUGAGUGCAGAAGAGGAGAGUGGAAUUCCACGUGUAGCGGUGAAAUGCGUAGAGAUGUGGAGGAACACCAGUGGCGAAGGCGACUCUCUGGUCUGUAACUGACGCUGAGGCGCGAAAGCGUGGGGAGCGAACAGG
rnacentral:rRNA from 1 species